UACGUAGGGUGCGAGCGUUGUCCGGAAUUAUUGGGCGUAAAGGGCUCGUAGGCGGUCUGUCGCGUCGGGAGUGAAAACUCAGGGCUUAACCCUGAGCCUGCUUCCGAUACGGGCAGACUAGAGGUAUGCAGGGGAGAACGGAAUUCCUGGUGUAGCGGUGAAAUGCGCAGAUAUCAGGAGGAACACCGGUGGCGAAGGCGGGUCUCUGGGCAACAACUGACGCUGAGGAGCGAAAGCGUGGGGAGCGAACAGG
rnacentral:rRNA from 1 species